GCACUAACGGUUUCCUCUCUUAACGGAAGGAAUCAAAAGGGAAUUCGGUGAGAAUCCGAAACAGUGCUCGCUGCUGUGAGUUUUGCCCUCGGCCCUCGGCCGACGGAGGGUGUUGCUCGAUGCCACUGAUGCCGCAAGGUGUUGGGAAGGCGCAAUGCCAAUGAACAAGUCAGAAGACCUGCCGUUGAAGU
rnacentral:ncRNA from 1 species